AAUUUAACGUUUAAAAAAGGAAAAAAGGAAAAGGAAAUAAUAUAUAAAUUUCUUUUAUAUGUCGGGGGCUAGUAAUAUCGUCUAUCGUUGCUUGAAAAGCUAACGAAGAAAGCCGAGUCGAUCAGUAACGGCGCUGACAGCAGGUAGAACGAAAGAACGGAUUCGAAAGGACAAGCACAGACAACGUUUAUAUCUCUACGAAAAUAGAGAGUAGAAGAAAGAAAAGAAAAAAGAAAAAAAAAACGAAGGAAAGGAACAAAAAAACAAGA